GGAGGGCUCGGAAAUAAUAUCCGAGAGUGUUAGGAAGUGCCUUAGACACCUCUAGACCUUUGUUGAUAGGUUUAGUUUCGAUAAGAUAAUUUGGGAGAAACUUAUUCAUUGUCCGCUCGUUAUUUUUAGGAAACNNNNNNAAACGGUAGAUAGUGAGAAACAUUGUGGUUUUGGUUGGAAGUAUUGCCGAGGUAAGGGCACCUUUCUAUUUAUGCCUUACUUCCGACAAUAACAUGUGUUGUUUUGGCUUGUUGUUUAUGCACUGGUUGUGAGUGCUUUGUAUGGUUGCGUUAUGUAUUCUCGUAAUGAGUUAUGUUGAAUACAUAUUUGUUGUUUACAUAUUAUGCGAAUAUGUAUGUUGGAAUGUUUGAGAUUACAUAUUAAUGAGAAUAUGU
rnacentral:lncRNA from 1 species